rnacentral:rRNA from 1 species
UGAGUGCGAGCUUCUACGGAAGCGAAGUUGGUGACGUCAAGCUUCCAAGAAAAGCCCUAUACCCGUUAAGGCAUGAUUACCUGUACCCGAAACCGACACAGGUGGGGUGGUAGAGAAUACCGAGGGGCGCGAGGUAACUCUCUCUAAGGAACUCGGCAAAAUGACCCCGUAACUUCGGGAGAAGGGGUGCCAGCGCGAGCUGGUCGCAGUGAAUAGGCCCAGGCGACUGUUUACCAAAAACACAGGUCUCCGCUAAGUCGCAAGACGAUGUAUGGGGGCUGACGCCUGCCCAGUGCCGGAAGGUUAAAGAAGUUGGUCAGCGCAAGCGAAGCUAACGACUGAAGCCCCGGUGAACGGCGGCCGUAACAAUAACGGUCCUAAGGUAGCGAAAUUCCUUGUCGGGUAAGUUCCGACCCGCACGAAAGGCGUAACGAUCUGGGCGCUGUCUCGGAGAGAGGCUCGGCGAAAUAGAAUUGUCUGUGAAGAUGCGGACUACGUGCACCCGGACAGAAAGACCCUAUGAAGCUUUACUGUAGCUUGGUAUUGUGCUCGGGCUCGCAAUGCGCAGGAUAGGUGGGAGGCUUUGAUCCAUUGCUUGUGGGUGAUGGUGAGCCACUGGUGAGAUACCACUCUUUGCGAGCUAGGGUUCUAACGGUUACCCGUCAUCCGGGAACCGGACAGUAUCUGGUGGGCAGUUUGACUGGGGCGGUCGCCUCCUAAAAGGUAACGGAGGCGCGCAAAGGUUUGCUCAGGCUGGUUGAAAUCAGCCGACGAGUGUAAAAGCAGAAGCAAGCUUGACUGUGAGACCUACAAGUCGAACAGGGAGGAAACUCGGCUUUAGUGAUCCGACGGUUCUGAGUGGAAGGGCCGUCGCUCAACGGAUAAAAGUUACUCUAGGAUAACAGGCUGAUCUCCCCCAAGAGUUCACAUCGACGGGGAGGUUUGGCACCUCGAUGUCGGCUCAUCGCAACCUGGGGCUGAAGUCGGUCCCAAGGGUUGGGCUGUUCGCCCAUUAAAGCGGUACGCGAGCUGGGUUCAGAACGUCGUGAGACAGUUCGGUCCAUAUCCGGUGCAUGCGCAGGAAUAUUGAGAGGAUUUCUCCCUAGUACGAGAGGACCGGGAGGAACGCACCUCUGGUGUACCAGUUAUCGUGCCAACGGUAAACGCUGGGUAGCCAUGUGCGGAGUGGAUAACCGCUGAAAGCAUCUAAGUGGGAAGCCCACCUCAAGAUGAGUAUUCCCAUGGCUUAAGCCAGUAAGGUCACGGGAAGAACACCCGUUGAUAGGCUCUAUGUGGAAGCGCAGUAAUGCGUGAAGCAGAGGAGUACUAAUAGACCGAGGGCUUGACC